rnacentral:lncRNA from 1 species
GGAGAAAGGCGUUUUUGCAUUGGUAUACUGGAGAAGGAAUGGAUGAAAUGGAAUUUACCGAGGCUGAAAGUAACAUGAAUGACUUGGUUUCGGAGUAUCAGCAGUAUCAAGAGGCUGUCUCUAAUGAAGAUCAAGACGAAGAUUAUGACGAAGAGGGGAUGGAGAAUUGAGAUUGAAGGAUCUGAGGUGGGAAAUAAGACAACACCUAUAUGGUGUUGUAAUAUGGCUGUUCUCUUUGUAUGUUCAGUGAAGCAUCUGUUCCUCUUCCAUUUUGCUUUUAAAUUGUUAUUGUUAUUAUUUUAUAAAAUUGUCAAUUCUCUUUUUGUUCAUGUUGAGUAAAAAACUGUGAUAAGUAGUAUAAUAUGCCUUGGUAAAGCCGUAAAGGAUGGAUGCAAUGUAAUUAAGUCAGCCUACAACAUUGUUGUAGACUCCAAUUAAGCCCCCUUUANUAAGUUUCCAAAAGGCCUCUUAGUUCAAUUAUCUCUGAAAAACUUAAAAUUUCCUUAUGAGUUUGUCUAUCAAUUGUAUAGUUUUAUAUUGGUCAAACAGAGUGCUAAUGUGACUCUGAUACAAAUUGUAAAUGCAGUUGGUGAUUUGAACCACUUGAUCUCCACAACGAUGAGUGGUGUGACAUGCUGCCUCCGUUUCCCCGGCCAACUCAACUCGGAUCUCCGAAAACUUGCUGUAAAUUUAAUCCCUUUCCCUCGUCUUCACUUUUUCAUGGUUGGUUUUGCGCCUCUAACUUCCCGUGGAUCUCAACAAUACCGCUCCCUCACCAUCCCUGAACUCACUCAACAAAUGUGGGACUCUAAAAACAUGAUGUGCGCUGCUGAUCCUCGUCACGGACGUUACCUCACUGCUUCUGCUAUGUUUCGAGGCAAGAUGAGUACCAAAGAAGUUGAUGAACAAAUGAUCAAUGUACAGAACAAGAACUCCUCAUACUUUGUUGAGUGGAUUCCUAACAAUGUGAAGUCAAGUGUUUGUGACAUUCCUCCAACAGGGUUGGCUAUGUCUUCCACGUUUAUGGGGAAUUCGACGUCGAUUCAAGAGAUGUUUAGGCGUGUUUCGGAGCAGUUCACUGUUAUGUUUAGGAGAAAGGCGUUUUUGCAUUGGUAUACUGGAGAAGGAAUGGAUGAAAUGGAAUUUACCGAGGCUGAAAGUAACAUGAAUGACUUGGUUUCGGAGUAUCAGCAGUAUCAAGAGGCUGUCUCUAAUGAAGAUCAAGACGAAGAUUAUGACGAAGAGGGGAUGGAGAAUUGAGAUUGAAGGAUCUGAGGUGGGAAAUAAGACAACACCUAUAUGGUGUUGUAAUAUGGCUGUUCUCUUUGUAUGUUCAGUGAAGCAUCUGUUCCUCUUCCAUUUUGCUUUUAAAUUGUUAUUGUUAUUAUUUUAUAAAAUUGUCAAUUCUCUUUUUGUUCAUGUUGAGUAAAAAACUGUGAUAAGU